rnacentral:tRNA from 8 species
UAGCUCAGCUGGGAGAGCGCUUGCAUGGCAUGCAAGAGGUCAGCGGUUCGAUCCCGC